UCCUCCUGGCACUCACUUAGAAAUUCAAGAUGGCCUCCACAGGUGAUUUUCAAGCUUUAGUUUGUAUAAUGUUCUGACCAGUAAAGCUCAGAG